AAGGGGAGCAAUCCCUGAGUAAAGUGGCGACCGGGUGAGUAACACGUGACUAACCUACCCUCGAGUGUGGAAUAACAUCGGGAAACCGAUGCUAAUACCGCAUAACAUCGCAAGAUCAAAGGAGCAAUCCGCUUGAGGAGGGGGUCGCGGCUGAUUAGCUAGUUGGCGGGGUAACGGCCCACCAAGGCGAAGAUCGGUAGCCGGCCUGAGAGGGCGCACGGCCACACUGGAACUGAAACACAGUCCAGACUCCUACGGGAGGCAGCAGUGGGGAAUUUUGCGCAAUGGGGGAAACCCUGACGCAGCAACGCCGCGUGGAGGAUGAAGCCCCUUGGG
rnacentral:rRNA from 1 species